CUCUCUGUCACCAGCCUGCUCUUGACUUUUAGAAGAGAUUUAUUUUACCACCAUGGAUAGGAGCAGUGGGUCUGAUGUUAGAUGUUCGCAGGUAUAUUGAACAAACUCUGCAGCAUGUGCAUUGGGUGCUUAAUCUCAUUGUUUCCUACGAGAUGGGAUUCCUAAAUUGCUGAUGGUAGAGCAAAAUAUGAAAAGAAGUGUUUUUCCUGGCUAUAUGAGGGAUUGGGAGACCAUGGAGCUGAGAAUCCUGGUGUGGAAAGGAGUAAUGAAUCUGGGAAUGGAAUUGGAAAGUGUCAGACGCUCCACGUGGUACCUUCAUGCAUCACUGCACAAGGGGCUGCCACAGAAAGAAGUCAGCAGACUGCUGUUCUUUUGCACUGGAUUUAAAUACAUAAUAUGACAAGUGUUUCACUAGCAUUGUUAGAAAAUUAUCUGAAGAUUUUGAUUUUCUUCUUUUUCUGUACAUUGAGCACUGAAAUAACAUUGAUAGACACUGUGCUGCUUUGUAUUACUGUUUUUAUUUUAGGCUAUAAGUGAUAUUUUGUAUGUCUGUUAGGUUUUUAAUCAGGCUAGGCUUUAUCAGAGAGCAAAUAUUUUGGCUAAAUUACUGUGAUUCUGAGAUUUCCAGAGCAGUGAGAGGCCAUUCUGCCCCAAGAUCCCGCACAUUUACUGAAUUUGGCCUUAUACCACACAGAAAACACUGCAGUUUUGUUCCUGAUAAAUAUUAACUGAUGAAAUAAAUUAGGUAGUGGGAAGACAAGAUCAUCUUUGCAGUUGUAAAGAAAUAAAUAGGUGAUAGACAGUAGGUAACAUGAAGCAAAAAAAAAAAAAAGAAAAAAAGAAAAUAUGAGAGUUGGGUGGAAAGAAGACACUGCUUUUAUUUCAACAGCAAUUUACUAGUGGAGGCAGGGUGCAGUGAGGAGGAAAGAGCUCUUCAGAAUUCUUCAGAGCUGGGAAAUAAAAAAGCAUUCCAAAUAAAAAAAGAGACGAUUAUGUCAGGAAAAAGGUGCAUGUUUCUCCCAUCUUCAGCAAAGGCAAGAAUGACAACAACCCAAAUAUCGUCACCUUUAUGCUAUGACAUGUUAUGUCCUUAGAGAAGCCACCUCUGGGUACAUGAUGGACUGACUGGGGACAUCUAUCAUCAGUGUUACAAUGGCCAAUUAUACCUGACUGACAUGACUGUUUUCUGUGGGGGGAUCAGACUGUCUCUCUUGCAAACAAGGUAAGGGAAACGAAAGUCGUAUACCAUAACAAGACUUUUGUUGUGGUUUCUCACAGUACUCUUUUUGUCAAACCAAGGAGACAUGGCUUGUAAGUAUGGACUACAUGGUGGCUGAGAAACUGGCUGGCUCACCAGCCUCAGCGGAGUGCUAGUGUUUCAAAGCCUAACUGCUUGUCAUCUGGAUUAAAAAGAAAAUAGUUCUCCAUUAUUAUCUCCAAAUACUGGAGCAGAGCCCAAAGUGAUUGCAGAAUCUUCGUACAGGAGUUUUGACAGAAGUUGACUAGACCAUAGACUGAGCAAAAGAAUCUAAAAUUGAAGCUGGCCUUGCUUUGGGCAGAAGGUUGAGCUGGGUGUCUCCCAGAUGUCCCUUUGAACC